GAUGAACGCUGGCGGCGUGCCUAAUACAUGCAAGUCGAACGGAGAAUGUAGCAAUACGUUCUUAGUGGCGAACGGGUGAGUAACGCGUGGGCGACCUGCCCCGAAGAGCGGGAUAACAAUUCGAAAGGAUUGCUAAUACCGCAUGUGGUCUCUGAGAUUAGAUGCUCGGCGACUAAAGGGAGUAAUCCGCUUUGGGAGGGGCCUGCGUCCCAUCAGCUAGUUGGAAAGGUAACGGCUUACCAAGGCUAUGACGGGUAGGGGACCUGAGAGGGUGGCCCCCCACAAUGGAACUGAAACACGGUCCAUACACCUACGGGUGGCAGCAGUAGGGAAUAUUGCUUAAUGGGCGAAAGCCUGAAGCAGCAACGCCGCGUGUGCGAUGAAGGCCUUCGGGUUGUAAAGCACUUUUUGAGGGGAUGAGGAAGGACAGUACCCUCAGAAUAAGCCUCGGCUAACUACGUGCCAGCAGCCGCGGUAACACGUAGGAGGCAAGCGUUAUCCGGAUUUACUGGGCGUAAAGCGCGUGCAGGCGGUUUGGAAAGUUGGAUGUGAAAGCUCCUGGCUUAACUGGGAGAGGUCGUUCAAUACUUCUAGACUCGAGUAUGGGAGAGGGAGGUGGAAUUCCGGGUGUAGUGGUGAAAUGCGUAGAUAUCCGGAGGAACACCAGUGGCGAAAGCGGCCUCCUGGCCCAUUACUGACGCUCAGACGCGAAAGCUAGGGUAGCAAACGGGAUUAGAGACCCCGGUAGUCCUAGCUGUAAACGAUGUGAACUUGGCGUUGGUGGGUUCAAAUCCAUCAGUGCCGGAGCUAACGCGUUAAGUUCACCGCCUGGGGACUACGGCCGCAAGGUUAAAACUCAA
rnacentral:rRNA from 1 species